CGGUGUUUAACUGGCGUGAUGUGGGACGUCCUACCGGUGGGCUUAGCCUCGCGAGGGGCGGCCCAACUAAUAUCCCGUCGCGGUGCUCUUUACUGAGUGUCGAGUCGGGCCGGUACGUUUACUUUGAACAAAUUAGAGUGCUUAAAGCAGGCUAUCCUCGCCUGAAUACUGCGUGCAUGGAAUAAUGGAAUAGGACCUCGGUUCUAUUUUGUUGGUUUUCGGAACCCCCGAGGUAAUGAUUAAUAGGGACAGAUGGGGGCAUUCGUAUUGCGACGUUAGAGGUGAAAUUCUUGGAUCGUCGCAAGACGGACAGAAGCGAAAGCAUUUGCCAAAAAUGUUUUCAUUAAUCAAGAACGAAAGUUAGAGGUUCGAAGGCGAUCAGAUACCGCCCUAGUUCUAACCAUAAACGAUGCCAGCUAGCGAUCCGCCGAAGUUCCUCCGAUGACUCGGCGGGCAGCUUCCGGGAAACCAAAGCUUUUGGGUUCCGGGGGAAGUAUGGUUGCAAAGCUGAAACUUAAAGGAAUUGACGGAAGGGCACCACCAGGAGUGGAGCCUGCGGCUUAAUUUGACUCAACACGGGAAACCUCACCAGGCCCAGACACCGGAAGGAUUGACAGAUUGAUAGCUCUUUCUUGAUUCGGUGGGUGGUGGUGCAUGGCCGUUCUUAGUUGGUGGAGCGAUUUGUCUGGUUAAUUCCGAUAACGAACGAGGCUCUAGCCUGCUAAAUAGGCGUACCUUAUGGUAUCGCGAAGGCCCCCGGCUUCGGCCGGUGGGUUUUUACUACCAACGUACAAACAAAUCUUCUUAGAGGGACAGGCGG
rnacentral:rRNA from 1 species